AUGUUUAUAUGUAUAUAAUACGAUAGUGACCAAAGUGACCUUGUUAUAUGAUAUAUAGAUAUUUAAAAUUAUAUAGUAUUUAAACCAUUCGACCUACCUUAAUCAUAUAACUACUAGAUCUUUUGUGUAUCUUAGCUUCCUGUGAAUUCGAUUCAUAAGUAUUACAACAUAACCUCUUAUUUGAGAAAGUAUAAAUCACUCCUUUUGGUAAUUUGAGUGAUAUCAAAAAUCAAACGGCCGUCGAGUUUACACCGCAUAAAACCUAUAAACCUAAGGGAGCAGAUGACCAGUAAAUAGCGUAAAUACCCUUCAUUAAACAUCUAUUAUAAUAAAGUUGAGCAGAAACUCUCCACAAUGCACCACCUCAGCAGAGAGCAUCUUAAAAAACGACACGUGGCAGCUCUGUGUCGUGAAUACUGAAUUGCUGUUUAUGUUAUGAAUUUGUUGGGCUACUUAUGUUAUUUGUUUAGUGGGCUCUUUCUCUGAAAAUUCAAAGAUGGCUCAUCUUUGUUUAGGUUUCCCUGCUGCAACCAGAGCUUUUCCUCUCCUCUCUCGCUCUCUGUCUCUUCGAAACUCAGACCACCACCUCUGUAACGCAUUUGUUUCCUUAUUAAACCUUUCAUUCAAUCUCAGUUAAGUCGACCCCCACUACGUCCCAUUACUUCACCGAAUUCUCCCUCUUCAUCUUCUACGCGAUUUCGAACCUAUAAAUAGGCAUCUUCGGCUUGAUGGUUUCCACAGAUUCAUAGCUCCUCUCUACUCAAAAAUCAGAAACACUCAUGCACGAACGAUGGCCGCUUCCCAGAUCUCUCUUUCCAAGUUGAAGGCAGUAUCGGAGGAGGAUCUUUACUUGAGAUCAGAGAGAAGGAAGAAUCUUCAUCAAUGGCGUGAAAAGUCUAUGAUCCUAGAGGAGUUGUAGGUUGUUGACUCGCUGUUUGUUCUUAUUGUUUUCUUGAUUCUAUGUGUGGGUUCUCUGUUUAGAUUGGGAUUGUAAACAAGUUUUGAUUGGGUUUGAUCUAUGAGUUUACAAAGUUUGUGUAUUUGGUUACGGAAUUGAUUAGUUAGUUUGUCUGAUGCAUUUAGGCGAAGUCAAACCAAAGAAUGUUGUAAUACAAAACCGAAAGGCUCUUGGAGACAUUGGUAAUCUCGCCAACAUUCCAACCGGAAAGGAGAUUGCGAGGAAGGCAGAGGUUGUUGUUAUCACCUGCCUUGAAGAAGAUGAGAAAUCUUGCAGACCACAUGUUACCAAAAGAUGAGGUUUCACAUCAACCUUAAGAGCUCGAAGCAAGGCUGCAAGUGGUGGACUCAAAGAUGCUGUGAUUGACGAUUCCCUUCACUUCAGCCUCAGUCCGUUCCUUCGUCCCAGCAAUUUGGGGUAGUUAUAGCAAGACUUCAGCUUUUAUCAGUUCAACGGUUACAUCCAAAAAAAUAUGGUUACAUCCAAAUAGAUCUUCCUCUUAGUAUCGUUUCAUACACAAGCUGGAAGCCUGGAACCCUUACCAGGUGAUGCUGUGUGUUGUUUUUGUUUUUCAUUUUUUAUUUAUCUUUUAUAUUAUCAAGUCAUAUUUUCAAUCUGUUUAAGGUGCAAGCCCUUUGCAUCGAACUGAACCGUCUACGGGAUCAAGCUCGGCUUAUGGAACUAGACCGUUAUCUCCUUCAGUGGGUGCUUAUCAGAUCGGUCCAUGUUCAAAUAAGGAACAAUGUCUCCACAGUUUCCUGGACAAGAUGAGUGUCCAGUGAAAGCAGCAUCGCCAAAGGGAAUUACUUUCGGCCAUAUUGGACCUACACUCCAUCAUGGCACUGCGCAAGCCCCAAUGCAGCCCCAUUGCUCAACACGAGAGAUUGACAACGACUUUUCUUCAACUAAAAAGUUUGUAUAUUUAUUCUUCUUAUAGCUAGAUCAUCUUAUUUUCUAAAUCAAAUAAAUGAUUAGUAGUCUUACUCAUAAUAAAGAUGUGAUCGGGUUCAAUUAUUCUGCAGGCUCUUUUCUCGCAUAAGAUCCAACUUUUUUUUGCAUGAUUA